rnacentral:rRNA from 1 species
UCAGAACGAACGCUGGCGGCGUGGAUAAGACAUGCAAGUCGAACGAGAGAAUUGCUAGCUUGCUAAUAAUUCUCUAGUGGCGCACGGGUGAGUAACACGCGAGUAACCUGCCCCCGAGAGCGGGAUAGCCCUGGGAGACUGGGAUUAAUACCGCAUAGUAUCGAAAGAUUAAAGCAGCAAUGCGCUUGGGGAUGGGCUCGCGGCCUAUUAGUUAGUUGGUGAGGUAACGGCUCACCAAGGCGAUGACGGGUAGCCGGUCUGAGAGGAUGUCCGGCCACACUGGAACUGAGACACGGUCCAGACACCUACGGGUGGCAGCAGUCGAGAAUCAUUCACAAUGGGGGAAACCCUGAUGGUGCGACGCCGCGUGGGGGAAUGAAGGUCUUCGGAUUGUAAACCCCUGUCAUGUGGGAGCAAAUUAAAAAGAUAGUACCACAAGAGGAAGAGACGGCUAACUCUGUGCCAGCAGCCGCGGUAAUACAGAGGUCUCAAGCGUUGUUCGGAAUCACUGGGCGUA